CCUACGGGAGGCAGCAGUGAGGAAUAUUGGUCAAUGGACGCAAGUCUGAACCAGCCAUGCCGCGUGCAGGAUGACGGCUCUAUGAGUUGUAAACUGCUUUUGUCCGAGGGUAAACCCCGAUACGCGUAUCGUGCUGACAGUAUCCUAAGAAUAAGGAUCGGCUAACUCCGUGCCAGCAGCCGCGGUAAUACGGAGGAUCCGAGCGUUAUCCGGAUUUAUUGGGUUUAAAGGGUGCGUAGGCGGUUUGAUAAGUUAGAGGUGAAAUGUCGGGGCUCAACCCCGAAAGUGCCUCUAAUACUGUUGGACUAGAGAGUGGUUGCGGUAGGCGGAAUGUAUGGUGUAGCGGUGAAAUGCUUAGAGAUCAUACAGAACACCGAUUGCGAAGGCAGCAUACCAAACUAUAUCUGACGUUGAGGCACGAAAGCGUGGGUAGCAAACAGGAUUAGAUACCCCUGUAGUC
rnacentral:rRNA from 1 species